CAAUUGAUAGCCUCGUUUGCAAUUCUAUCAACUAUUUCAUUUCCUUUAAUUCCGCAAUGGCUAGGUAUCCAUACAAAUGAUACUGUAAGAUUUUGAUCCAUACAUCUCAUUAACAAUUUUCUGCAGUCUAAGAGAAUAGGGUAAAUAGGUUGAGAUUUAAAAGGAAAUUUUGCAAGAGCCUGUAAAGCACUCUUUGAAUCGGGAUUUGAAAACGAAUUUAUCAGAUAAAUAUUGACGUCUCAAAUGAAGAGGAGGAUCAACACAUUCUACCUGUAAUGCUGUAACAGGACUAGAUUUCAUGGCUCCAGUGAUAAUUCGGAGCGCUUUAGACUGUAUAGAGUCUAGUUUUUUGAAAGCAUUCACAUCCCCUGGUUGAAGUAAAAAAGUACCAUAAUCUAAAACUGAUCUUACUAUGGCAUUAUAUAAAAGUUUUAAAUUGAAUGGGUGGGCACCCCACCAUACACCGGCAAGAGAACGCAAGAUAUUCAUAUUACUCAAACACUUGUUUGUAAUGUAAUUACAAUGUUGAAUUCCAUUUAAUUUUGAAUCUAAAAUUAAACCUAAAAAUUUAACAUGACUGUUUACAGAAAUUAAUUCAUUCUCAUAGAAUAUAUUAAUUG